rnacentral:rRNA from 1 species
GCUGGCGGCAGGCCUAACACAUGUUAGUCGAACGGAGUUAUAUUGUAGCUUGCUAUGGUAUAAUUUAGUGGCAGACGGGUGAGUAAUGUAUAGGAANCNACCUAGUAGUACGGAAUAAUUGUUGGAAACGGCAACUAAUACCGUAUACGCCCUACGGGGGAAAAAUUUAUCGCUAUUAGAUGAGCCUAUAUUAGAUUAGCUAGUUGGUGGAGUAAUAGCCUACCAAGGCAAUGAUCUAUAGCUGAUCUGAGAGGAUGAUCAGCCACACUGGAACUGAGAUACGGUCCAGACUCCUACGGGAGGCAGCAGUGGGGAAUAUUGGACAAUGGGCGAAAGCCUGAUCCAGCCAUGCCGCAUGAGUGAAGAAGGCCUUUGGGUUGUAAAGCUCUUUUAGUGAGGAAGAUAAUGACGGUACUCACAGAAGAAGUCCUGGCUAACUCCGUGCCAGCAGCCGCGGUAAUACGGAGAGGGCUAGCGUUAUUCGGAAUUAUUGGGCGUAAAGGGCGCGUAGGCGGAUUAGUAAGUUAAAAGUGAAAUCCCAAGGCUCAACCUUGGAAUUGCUUUUAAAACUGCUAAUCUAGAGAUUGAAAGAGGAUAGAGGAAUUCCUAGUGUAGAGGUGAAAUUCGUAAAU